rnacentral:rRNA from 1 species
CAAUAGCGUAUAUUAAAGUUGUUGCAGUUAAAAAGCUCGUAGUUGGAUUUGUGGCGUACGGUGUGUUCCGGGCACUUGUUGUCUGAGUAACCUGCUGUUGCCAUCCUUGGGUGGAACCUGUGUGGCAUUAGGUUGUCGUGCAGGGGAUGCCCAUCAUUUACUGUGAAAAAAUUAGAGUGUUCAAAGCAGGCUUAUGCCGUUGAAUAUAUUAGCAUGGAAUAAUGAGAUAGGACUUUUUUGCUAUUUUGUUGGUUUGCGCAAAGAGGUAAUGAUUAAUAGGGACAGUUGGGGGUAUUCGUAUUCCAUUGUCAGAGGUGAAAUUCUUGGAUUUACGAAAGACGAACUACUGCGAAAGCAUUUGCCAAGAAUGUUUUCAUUAA